CCUACGGGUGGCUGCAGUGGGGAAUAUUGCACAAUGGGGGAAACCCUGAUGCAGCAACGCCGCGUGGGCGAAGAAGGCCUUCGGGUCGUAAAGCACUGUCCUAAGGGAAGAAGCAUGACGGUACCUUAGGGGGAAGCCCCGGCUAACUACGUGCCAGCAGCCGCGGUAAUACGUAGGGGGCGAGCGUUAACAGGAAUCGCUGGGCGUAAAGGGUGCGUAGGCGGCCGAUUAAGCCAGGGGUGAAAGGCUACGGCUCAACCGUAGUAAGGCGUUGGAACUGAUUGGCUUGAGGGCAGGAGAGGAGAGUGGAAUCCCCAGUGGAGAGGUGGAAUGCGUAGAGAGAAGGAAGGAGACCAGUAGGGAAGGCGACUCUCUGGAGUGUAAAUGAAACUGAGGCACGAAAGCGUGAAAAGCAAACAAGAUUGAAUACCCGGGUAGUC
rnacentral:rRNA from 1 species